CCGAGGCCCUCGAUCAAGGAAACCAACACACCGUCAUGUAAGAAAAACCAACUCGGCCGAGAAAUCCCGCCCCGAUUCAUCAGCCUGAUCUGAUGCGAGCUGUCGCAUGCCCCGAGAAAUCGGCAAUCUGAGCGCCGCCUUCCCUCCUCGUGUCUCGAUCGUUCGCCGCCUCUUCUCCUCCCCCAGAAGUGCCUCACGUCUGAUCUCCCCUCCUCCCCACGGAAUGGCGGAUGGCAGUGGACCAACGUUGAAGGCGGAUCGAGCCUGGCCAUGGCGGCAUGGCGUAUUGGCUCCCCCAGGUCUCCUCACUCAUCCACAGCAUGGCAGGGCGUGGUGAUUGAGCUUUGAUUUCUCUCUUCGGGCUUGGGGUUAGGAGGCACAAUCCAGUACACCUCAGCAUCGCGGGAGAGUGGUGCAGCUCGGUUCAUGAUGGCAGGGUGAGGUGAGUUAGUUUUGUAGUUUUUGAAGUGCUUAGUUUGAUGAAAUAACGUAGGGUACCGAAUUUAUAUUUUUUUUGUGAUUAGUUAAUUGCGCUUAAAAUUACUACCUCGAGCAACCUGGAUUUUGCAACCUUUGGACUUUUAGCACUGAUAUAGGGCCUGUUUGGGACUGCUCUGCUCCUUAAAAUUCAACUCUGCUCCGCAAAACACAAGCCAAACAGGGAUAGCUCCACGAUAUGCCACUCCGCAAAAUACUAGAAUCUGGGGUACAACUCCUAAUUUUUUAUGAAGCUCCUCAGGAGGUGCUCUAAAAAACUCUAGAAGCUGGAGUUGAGUGGAAAUUACCCACCACUGCCACCAAUAAGUGGAUACCCCUUCGUUUCUCCGUCCUCAACCAAUCAAAUAGAUCCUUUUCACCAAAUUUUUCAUUCUUGAAGCUAGAGCUAGAUGGAAGCCAAACAUUCUCUUUGAUAGUGCUACAACUUCUGCUUGAAACUGCUCCAAAGUAAAUUUAGUGGAGCGAAACUGAUUUUGGUGAAGCGGAGCAGUCCCAAACAAGCCCAUAAUAUGAGAUAAGAAAGUAUGCUUUACUUAUGUUAGUUUGUUAGCAUAUGAAAAUUUCAGAAUUAAGGGCCUCAAUUUGUGUUUCGCACCGGGGCCUCAAUUUUCUGGAGUCGGCCCUGGUCUUGUGACUUCUUUUCUCCUAUAAUGUAAAGGCAGAGCUCCUGCUGUUCACGUCAAAAAAAAAACAAUUCAUAAUCAUAAAAGGAAAAGAAUGCAAUGUCAAAGAUCCAAGGAUCGUAAACAGGUUGUCAUUCAGGAACACUCCCCCUUAACCUUGCAAACCACAAAGUCGUUUCAUAUCAACUCUAUUAACAUAUUUCUAGAAAUAAGGAACUUGGCUAGGAUUUUGUAAACAGAUCAGCGAGAUACGCAUGACUUCGUUUGCAGAAUAUCUUUAUUCUAGAAUACUUCGUUUGCAUAAUAUCAAUCUCCUAAUUUUUCUGCAACUCAUGAGCAUAAGAUAAUCUUUGUUUGUAAACUAAUCUAGGCGUUUCAGAAGUUAUGUGGAUAUGCAGCAGAGAGCCAGAGAGCUUGCAACACUGAAUUCAGCCUUUGUGUUCGCUUGAGUACUGUCCUUGGUAUACUAGCGGAACAAUCUUUGAUCUUUCAUUGGCUCACUCAACAAACACCCAAUGACAAACAAUAGUCGCACAUUGAGUUCUAAUCACAUCAUAUACAGCACGAGCACG